CUAGCCGUACUCCGAAUGCAUCUAGAUGUUUAAUUUGAUCCUGGCUCAGAGUGACCGCUGGGCUUUAGGCCUAACACAUGCAAGUCGAACGGCAGCACAGAGGAGCUUGCUCCUUGGGUGGCGAGUGGCGGACGGGUGAGGAAUACAUCGGAAUCUACUCUGUCGUGGGGGAUAACGUAGGGAAACUUACGCUAAUACCGCAUACGACCUACGGGUGAAAGCAGGGGAUCUUCGGACCUUGCGCGAUUGAAUGAGCCGAUGUCGGAUUAGCUAGUUGGCGGGGUAAAGGCCCACCAAGGCGACGAUCCGUAGCUGGUCUGAGAGGAUGAUCAGCACACUUGGAACUGAGACACGGUCCAGACUCCUACGGGGAGGCAGCCAAGUUGGGGAAUAUUGGACAAUGGGCGCAAGCCUUGAUUCCAGCCAUACCGCGUGGGGUGAACGAANGGGCCCUUUCGGGUUUGUUAAAGGCCCUUUUUGUUNGGGAAAAGNAAAUUCCCAGNGCUUNGGCUUAAUUAACCCCCGGCUUUGGGGGAAUUUGACCGGGGUACCCCAAAAAGAAUUAAAGCACCCGGGGUUAAAACUUUUCGGUGGCCUCAGCA
rnacentral:rRNA from 1 species